AUGCAACUAAAGACACUCAGGAAAGAGGACUUGAGACCUGCUUCCGAAAGUGGCGGGGCUGCAGGAGAUGAAGGGAACGGCCGACCAUGUCCCCACCCUUCACGUCCCGAGCCUGGGCCCUGCCUGCCUCCCACAGCCUGGCUCCCCGGCCAAGCCCAUCUCUCUCCUCCCCACCAGAGGAAGGUGAGCAGCAGGCCCUGGUCCCUCAGCUCGGCCAUCCACCCGACCUCCCUUUCACAGGACCCGGAAAGGGAAGGAUUUUUCAUCGAUUCAGGAUUUUUAAUCGAGGCAGCCAGGACACUGCAAUUAAAGACACUCAGGAAAGAGGUCUCCAGAGCUGCUGCAGAAAGUGACAAGAACGUCGGGAUCAGUGUGUUGGGAGUGAUGGGGAGGUUGGAAGAGAGGGGAGUGGAUUCUGAGGGGAUUCACGGCACUGUGUCUUUUGCUGCAAUAACAAUUUUAAUGUAAACACCCACU
rnacentral:lncRNA from 1 species